rnacentral:rRNA from 1 species
GAUGAACGCUGGCGGCGUGCUUAACACAUGCAAGUCGAACGGUGAAGCAGGAGCUUGCUCUUGUGGAUCAGUGGCGAACGGGUGAGUAACACGUGAGCAACCUGCCCCUGACUCUGGGAUAAGCGCUGGAAACGGCGUCUAAUACUGGAUAUGUGAUGUGACCGCAUGGUCUGCAUCUGGAAAGAAUUUCGGUUGGGGAUGGGCUCGCGGCCUAUCAGCUUGUUGGUGAGGUAAGGGCUCCCCAAGGCGUCGACGGGUAGCCGGCCUGAGAGGGGGACCGGCCACACUGGGGCUGAGACACGGCCCAGACUCCUACGGGAGGCAGCAGUGGGGAAUAUUGCACAAUGGGCGGAAGCCUGAUGCAGCAACGCCGCGUGAGGGAUGACGGCCUUCGGGUUGUAAACCUCUUUUAGCAGGGAAGAAGCGAAAGUGACGGUACCUGCAGAAAAAGCACCGGCUAACUACGUGCCAGCCGCCGCAGUAA